GAUGAACGCUGGCGGCGUGCCUAAUACAUGCAAGUCGAGCGAACAGACGAGGAGCUUGCUCCUCUGACGUUAGCGGCGGACGGGUGAGUAACACGUGGAUAACCUACCUAUAAGACUGGGAUAACUUCGGGAAACCGGAGCUAAUAACGGAUAAUAUAUUGAACCGCAUGGUGCAAUAGUGAAAGACGGUUUUGGUGUCACUUAUAGAUGGAUCCGCGCCGCAUUAGCUAGUUGGUAAGGUAACGGCUUACCAAGGCGACGAUGCGUAGCCGACCUGAGAGGGUGAUCGGCCACACUGGAACUGAGACACGGUCCAGACUCCUACGGGAGGCAGCAGUAGGGAAUCUUCCGCAAUGGGCGAAAGCCUGACGGAGCAACGCCGCGUGAGUGAUGAAGGUCUUCGGAUCGUAAAACUCUGUUAUUAGGGAAGAACAAAUGUGUAAGUAACUAUGCACGUCUUGACGGUACCUAAUCAGAAAGCCACGGCUAACUACGUG
rnacentral:rRNA from 1 species